rnacentral:rRNA from 1 species
UACGUAGGGUGCGAGCGUUAAUCGGAAUUACUGGGCGUAAAGCGUGCGCAGGCGGUUUUGUAAGUCGGCUGUGAAAUCCCCGGGCUUAACCUGGGAAUGGCAUUCGGGACUGCAAGGCUGGAGUGCGGCAGAGGAGACUGGAAUUCCUGGUGUAGCAGUGAAAUGCGUAGAUAUCAGGAGGAACACCGAUGGCGAAGGCAGGUCUCUGGGCUGACACUGACGCUCAUGCACGAAAGCGUGGGGAGCAAACAGG